CACAAAAUGGCUGCAAAAAUGUAU
rnacentral:siRNA from 1 species